rnacentral:rRNA from 1 species
GAUAGUGAACAAGUACCGUGAGGGAAAGGUGAAAAGGACCCCUGCUAGGGGAGUUUAAAGUUCCUGAAACCUUGUGCCUACAAAGUGUGGGAGCGUCUUUAUGGCGUGACCGCGUGCCUUUUGCAUAAUGAGUCUGCGAGUUAUUGUCAGUGGCAAGUCUAAGUCCUAAUGGGACGUAGGCGAAGCGAAAGCGAGUGUGAAUAGCGCGUCCAGUCGCUGGCGAUAGACCCGAAGCGGAGGUGAUCUAACCAUGAGCAGGUUGAAGCUGCAGUAACAUGCAGUGAAGGACCGAACCGGUGUGCGUUGAAAAGUGCUCGGAUGACUUGUGGUUAGGAGUGAAAGGCUAAUCAAACCCCGUAAUAGCUGGUUCUCUCCGAAAUAGCUUUAGGGCUAGCGUCGGGUGAGUACUCCGAGGAGGUAGAGCACUGAUAGGCUUAGGGUCCCUAACCGGAUACCAAAACCUGUUAAACUCCGAAUGCCUCGGAUCCAUUACCCCGGCAGUCAGUCGAUGAGUGAUAAGAUCCAUCGUCGAGAGGGAAACAACCCAGAUCACCGACUAAGGUGCCUAAAUACCGUUCAGUGGUAAGGAGGUGAAGUGACAUAGACAGUGAGGAUGUUGGCUUAGAAGCAGCCACCAUUUAAACAGUGCGUAACAGCUGACUCAUCGAGUUACUUCGCGCCGAAAAUGAUUGGCGAUCAAACGGUAUACCGACGUCGUGAAUGUCUUCGGACAUGGUAGGAGAGCGUAGUCUUUGCAUCGAAGCUGUUCUGUAAAGAGCGGUGGAGCGGAGACUAGCGAGAAUGCAGACAUGAGUAGCGAUAAACAAAGUGAGAAUCUUUGUCUCCGUAAACCUAAGGUUUCCUGGGCCAGGCUCGUCCUCCCAGGGUUAGCCGGGACCUAAGGCGAGGCCGAAAGGCGUAGUCGAUGGAUAACAGGUUAAUAUUCCUGUGCUAAUGCGCAACAUGGGACGCAUGGCAGAAAGGUGACACACACAAUGAUAUGUGAGUCUAGGCUUCGGCCGAAACACGUCACCCGCAGCUGUGCCGAGAAAACCGCGCAGGCCCGUACCGUAAACCGACACAGGUAGGUGAGUCGAAUAGACUAAGGAGCGCGAGAGAAAUCUCUCCAAGGAACUCGGCAAAUUAGCCCCGUAACUUCGGAAGAAGGGGUGCCCAUUUCGGUGGGCCACAGUAAAUUGGGACUGGCGACUGUUUACCAAAAACACAGCUCUCUGCAAAGUCGUGAAGACGACGUAUAGGGAGUGACACGUGACCAAUGCGAAAAGAUUAAGGUGACUUGUUAGCCCUUGAGGCGAAGCUCGGAGCCCAAGUCCUCGUGAAUGUCGGCCGUAACUAUAACGGUCCUAAGGUAGCGAAAUUCCUUGUCGGGUAAGUUCCGACCUGCACGAAUCGUGCAACGACCGGUCCGCUGUCUCGGAGAGAAUCUCGGCGAAGUUGUAAUUGCGGUGAAGAUGCCGCAUACCCGCAGUAGGACGGAAAGACCCUGUACACCUUUACUAUAAGCAAGUAUUGGCUUCUGAUUAGUGAUGCGUAGCGUAGGUGGGAGACUUUGAAGUGAUGGCUUAGGUUGUCAUGGAGUCGAAAUGUGAAACACCACUCUUUAUUAAUUAGGAUUCUAACAACGAUUUCUCUGAAGCGAGACGUUGAACAGUGCUUGCGGGUUAGUUUGACUGGGGCGGUUUCCUCCCAAAAAGUAACGGAGGAGCACUAAGGUACCUUCAGCAUGGUUAGCAACCAUGCGUCGAGCGUAUGCGUAGAAGGGUGCUUGACUGCGAGACCUACAAGUCGAGCAGGUACGAAAGUAGGUGCAAAUGAUCCGGUGGUAGAACGUGGAAUUGCCAUCGCUCAACGGACAAAAGGUACGUCAGGGAUAACAGGCUGAUCGCGCCCAAGAGUUCAUAUCGACGGC